rnacentral:rRNA from 1 species
GAUGAACGCUGGCGGCGUGCCUAAUACAUGCAAGUCGAGCGAACGGACGAGAAGCUUGCUUCUCUGAUGUUAGCGGCGGACGGGUGAGUAACACGUGUAUAACCUACCUAUAAGACUGGGAUAACUUCGGGAAACCGGAGCUAAUACCGGAUGAUAUUUUGAACCGCAUGGUUCAAAAGUGAAAGACGGUCUUGCUGUCACUUCUCGAUGGAUCCGCGCUGCAUUAGCUAGUUGGUAAGGUAACGGCUUACCAAGGCAACGAUGCAUAGCCGACCUGAGAGGGUGAUCGGCCACACUGGAACUGAGACACGGUCCAGACUCCUACGUGAGGCAGCAGUAGGGAAGCGUCCGAAAUGGGCGAGAGCCUGACGGAGCAACGCCGCGUGAGUGAUGAAGGUCCUCGGAUCGUAAAACGCUCUUAUUAGGGAAGACCAUAUGUGUAAGUAACUGUGCACAUCUUGACGGUACCGAAUCAGAAAGCCACGGCUAACUACGU